ensembl:processed_transcript Mir100hg Mir100 Mirlet7a-2 Mir125b-1 cluster host gene
AGUCGUACAUGCAUGCCAAAGCUUAACAAUCCCCAAUAUCACUGUUUACAAAGUACAUUGCCCGGGCAUAGAAUUUACCCUAAGUCAUUCUACCAGUUAGAUGUCUCCUCUAGAGAGUCAGCAUCCUCAAAUACUCGAAGUAUUUAAUACAGUAUGUACCGUGGUGUAUCCCGUUCAGCGUGCCUAGCUCAUUGAUGUGUUUCCAUUGUGUGAGUAUAAAGGAGAAGUCGAUGUCAAACGCUUUAGUUAACUAAAAAACCACCUGCAAAUCCAUCUCAUUCAUAACUGCUUCUGCAGAGUAAGAGAGAAGCAUUAAUAACUCCCUUCUCAAAUAUCCUUAUCUGUGAAGUGAGUAAGUGGGUCAGGCUAAGUAGGGUCUCAGUGCUUACCCCCUCUCAGAAUUAUUGAAGCUAUAAUAAUGUCAAAGUAUAGGGGCAAUAGGAGCAAGGCCAAAGCCUGUGAACUUAUUUGUCCAUUGGUACCAUCAGUUGCCCUUCAAAGUUACAUCUGAUUCCACCUCCGGGGUCAGUUGUUACUAAUCUGCUUUAUCCUGUUGAGAAAGCACCAAAGAUUGGAGUUUAUUUUUCAGGGAGGGAUGGUGACAGAAAAAAAAAAAAAAAGCAGCCUAGGGGCAAAAGAAAAGAAAACUAAAGCUUCUCAAUGGAAGAAGUGAAUUCUUGAUCCCAGUUAUAAAGCCACAUCCUUCAACAUUAACUUGGAAGAUAUCCAGACACUGCCUUUCUGUUUUAGACCACACCCUCUCCCCAGCCCUUCUGCUAUCCUGUGAUUUCUUGUGGUGUGGUUUAUUUACUCCAUUGGAUUGCUGCCUUGAAGUUCUGUGUUUCUUGUUCCCCUUGGUUUAUUUGAAUUGUGGUCAUGUUCUUUUCAGGGGCCUACAAUGGUCACUUGACCACAACACACUUCCCAAACAAGACACUGACAUGUUCAAAGCCACCUGGAAAUGACCCCAUCUCCUUUUCUCAAACCACUCAGAAUGUAAAACCCCUUCUUUUAUUAAGCCAGACUGGAUUCCCCAUUCUCCAAAUCUUUGAUAUUCUUACAACUGACUAAUUUCCUUCCUGGGUGCCCCAAUAUUCCAGUAACUCCUGCCUUCCUUCAUUACCGUCUCCCUCCUUCCCUUUCUCCCUCACACUUUCUAUUUCAGUACCAUGUGCCAAGCUCUAUGGCCAGCACUGAAAACACCGAGACAUAGUCAAGGGACUAAGCAUUGAACACCCAGUCAUUCCAGUGCCUCCAUUCACUCCUGUAUUGCAGCAGUUAGGCACCUACAACCAACUUAGUUUGCCUUCAUUCCUAGGACUCAUUUGACUGUGCUCUGUGUCCUGUGAUCUUUUGCUCUGUGCCUGUGUGUCCUGUUUCAGGGAGGGUAGACCUGAAGCUUUCUUCUUUGUACACACUGACACAAGACUGCUGCUUCAUUGAUUCUUGAGCAAGGGGAAUAAUGGAAGAAAGCCACUUUUUGUUGUUAAAGCGAGGUAGCAUUUCUGCUGUAGUUAGAAAGAGCAUUGUCUCUCAAGUGUCCCAAAUUCACUUCCAUUAAACAGUCAAUGUGAUAACUGUCUGUGACAUGUUCUAUUAUCUUUCUAGUUGUUCGGAUGUUCCUUUCAGCUGGUCCUAUAGCCCCCUUUCUCAGUAAUGUCUCCCCAGUGAAAGGAAAAAGACUGCAGAGGCUUCAGACUGACGGACGCUCAUGCCAACUGUGAAGUUGAAACAAAGCAAGUGACCAGCUGAAGAGGCCCCUCCUGCCCAGCAGCCACCCACAUGCAGUUGCAGCCAGUAGUAAUCUUUGCAAGAAGCAGAGAAACCCAGAACACGUAUGAGUCAAAACCAUCCCCUUCCUUGUGUGUGUAUCCCUGUCUCGUUCAAAUUGGUGUGCCUUCCAUUUGGAUCCUGGUAUGAAUAUGCUUGUUACUGUGUAAAGGCAACUUCGCCCAAAUGUGUUAAUGUAUGAAGAGACUGAAUUUUUUUGUGGGGGGGGGAGAGUUAUUUUUAUCAAAACACAGUGUUCGUUAUUGACAGUGAUCUAGAAAAUGAAAAGCAGUUGGAAAAGACAGCAAAGCAGUCACAGGCGAUCCACAGAGAUGCUCACACCACCACACAGAAACACCACAUCAUGCUCCCAGACUCUGAGCAGGGAGCGAGACUCUGUGACAUACUGUGGCUGCCGCCAAGGGUCAACAGCAAGCCAGACACAGGUGCAGAAGCUACCUCAAGUGUAGUGAUAAACUGAGUCAGGAGACAAUAAGAACAGCAACGACACAAAAGACAAUGUCCUUGGAGGGGGCCAAGUGGGUUUGCUUAAGGAAGGAUGCUCCCUUAAAGAGAGAAUAGGAAAUCAACCUUUAAAGGAUGUAAAAACAAAACUAGAUAAAUGGGAAGAUAGGAGAACAUCGAGUCCUUAAUGCAAACAUAAGGGUAAGCAAUGGAUGGGCAGAGGAAAUCCACAUGGUGAGUCUUGGAGACUACACAUAUCUCAUCUUGAUUUUGCCUGACACUUGGAACCGCUGUCUGUGUGUCUAGUAGAGAUGCUGCACACAGGCACCUCCCCUCCCCCACCCCAAAUGUCCCCUAAACUGAACUAGAACUAAAGUUCCAGUUCUGUGUCACUACAAAGAUUGGUUGGUGAUCCCUGAAUAGAAUUCAUGAUUCUUCUGUUCGUGAUUGCUUCUUACCAAAUUUAUUCCAUACAGGAAAUGUUUAGCAUAUUAAAUCUCAUGGUUGCUAUGAAAAUGACACAUUAUCCACCUUUCACAGGUAAAGAAACUGAUUUUGGUGAGGCUGAGUGCCUAGCCAAGGUGCUAUGUGCAGCUAUGCAUAUUCAAGGUUUUGGUCAUGAAACUCAGUCCCUAGUCUGACUUUUGUGAUGAGUUCCAACACAGUUGUCACCUUUACCAUGGCCCUUAAUGCCUGUCUACAGAAAGACAUGGCUUUUCUGCUGACUUACAGCCACAGUAUUUCCUACUUUCAUGCUGAAUUAUACCAGAAUGAUAAAACGUAUUUUCAUGGAAGAAAAUUGAGAAUUUAGUGAAAUACACUGCCUGCCAGCAGUUUGUAUGUUUCUUCUUCAUUUUGGUCUGAAUCUUUUGAUUUAGUUCUGCAUGAAAUCUCAAAGUUUUAAGAUCAGUAAGGGAAAGGCCUUAAGUUACCUGUUAUUGUACUUUUUGACAGAAGAUGUAAAUUGACAACCUGUAAUCAGAGUGACUUUACAAACAAACAAACAACAAAAAGACACCCCCACCCCACAAAACUCAAAUCAAACCAACCAACCAAACAACAAAAUAAACAAAACCGCCCACUUAAUUGGAAAUGUCCCAACAAAGACCAGAAACUAAGUCCUCAGUUAUCUUUCAAUGACUUUUAAAUUAUUGCACCCUGUCCUAAAGAAACAUGAACUUGUAUUUGACUAAAGGCACUAAUGUUGCAUAGAUUGGAUCUCCUAAAAUCUAGUUUCUUCCUUCCUUGGUACUCAUGUCAAUGUUAAAUACAGCUAUGAACUAGUGUAUUUAUGUCAAGAAGUUGACAAUGAUCUGUCCCCAAAGAACAGAGAAUAGCCAAUGUUGUCUAUAUACUCCUUCUUUAAUCCAACCAUGAAAUCAUUAGUUCACUUGCACCAAUCCAAUCCAUUGUGCAUCUUCUCAACCAACCUGACCUAUGGCAAUCAUUUGCAAGUGCUAUAAAUGUUUAUCUAUGACUGUUCCAGAAAUAGCUAAGUAUUAACAAAUACCACUAGUCAUUUUGUGAUGUAAUCUUCAUUUAUCUGUGUAACUAAUUCAAGAAGACUUUGGCCAUAAAAACCUAGAACUAAAAAUCCCAUUCUUGGCUUUCAGCCACUCUACAUUUGAAUGACAUUUCACAGUGAUUAAUAAAUUGUCCAUAUAAAUAACAUAGAUGUCCAGAUUGUGAUUUUUGUCUUGAAUGAGACCAUUAAACUGGGUAGGCUAAGGGACAGAUGUCUAACUUUUUGAGGUACCUGGAUAUUUAACUGAUGUAAUUUUCUACUUAGCUGUUUGACAUUGUCGUAUGUAGUCCUGGUCAUGGCUUUGACUGUUCUGUUUUUUCAAAAUGCUUGUUGGCUCUGUCUUACACUGUUCUCACUGAUCUCAUAAAUAAACAGGUUUGUUGUUAAAGAGU